UUAUUGGAGUCAUGAUGAUGAUGAUGACUCUGUGUACGGCCAGCCCCACUCGCUCUAAACUCAACAAACCUGGCCUUGAAUGCAGAUUAUGAAUUUUUUCUCAUCCAUCCAUAUCUAUCUCAUUCUUCGUCUUGAGAGAGAAGCUCUUUCUCCCCUCAACUAUAUUUAGUCAGUCGGUCCAACAACUUGCCAAGUGCUGGAUGUCAUGCUGACUGACUUGUUCAUUCCACGGAAUGGCACAUAACACCUAACGCCGUCCGUACCCCUAAUAAAAACGACACAGACAGCAAAGCAGGGCUGCACAACAGUUUUGAGAGGCCCGUCAUUAAGAAUUUCGUCAAAGCUAUUAGGACGGAAGAAAAGGUGGGAGAGAUGAAAACCUUUGGAAAGUCUCAAGUUUCAGAUUCAGGUAGACUUCUCCUGAAAUAUCCUCUCUCUGGACCCUGCAAGAUGCGAUCCGGUUACACAAAGAUGCAUAACAUGAUCUUGAUGGCAAUUCCCACACUUUGGUUGGCUUGUUUAUUUUGUAAAUAUUCAUUUCCCGUCCAGCACCAGUUCAAUUAACCAACCGCACUGAACGGACUAUAGAGAUACCUGCAGAAAGAGUGGGAACCGUUCAUCUUCUUACACGAUGUGAACCAAAAAUAAGAUGUAUAGCUGCACAUUCAGCAGGUAAAAAGAUGAUGAUGGGAUUCUUAAAAAUACAUUUUCAUGCUUUACACACCGACUGAAAAGGUGCAGUUUUUGAUCCAUUGUGAUGCAUCUUAAAAAACGUAACUUGAGACAAAAAUACAUCUUCUGGAGAAGAAGAACAAAACAAGA